UACGGGGGGGGCUAGCGUUAUUCAUCGUUAUUGGGCGUAAAGGGUGCGUAGGCGGCGGGGCAAGUCUGAUGUGAAAUCCCGGGGCUCAACCCCGGAACUGCAUUGGAUACUGCCUUGCUAGAGUACUGGAGAGGGAACUGGAAUUUACGGUGUAGCAGUGAAAUGCGUAGAGAUCGUAAGGAAGGCCAGUGGCGAAGGCGAGUUCCUGGACAGUUACUGACGCUGAGGCACGAAGGCCAGGGGAGCAAACGGG
rnacentral:rRNA from 1 species